AUAUGUGUAUACUGUAUAUGUGUAUGCGUCUAGUGUAUAUCAUAUACUCAUAUACAUGUGUAUGUGUAUAGUGUAUAUCAUGUAAUGAUGUUUAAUUACCAAAUCUUUAUCUUAAAGCAACAUGUGGCAAUAUUUGUGUUAGACAACAAAGUCCUUAUGAUUCAAGUCUGUUAGGAGUAUUUAACAUUAAAUUUAGAAAAAGUUGAACAUGUUGCAAUUUUAAAUGACAAUUUUCUCCAGUGUAUCUUGCUGCACUUGUUAUAGCUUGUUGAAAUAACAAAAUUGUAUUUGUGGAUGGUCCUUUAAGACUCACCACAUUUACUAUUAAAAAAUGUAAAGAUUAUAUGAAUGAUUAGAUUGAUUAGAUUAACUCUGUUACAUAUGACUAAAUAAGAGAAAAAUUAUCUAUGGCAAAAGUUUAUUCAGACUUUUUUUCAAUUAACGACAGUAAGACCUGAUAAAUUUAGAAGUAAACAGAUUUCAGAAAACCUACCAGGUGAUGAUCAUGAUGAUUGUGAUGAUGAUAUGAUAUACGUGAUAAUGAUGAGCAUAUGUAAUUUAGAUGGUGAUCAUCAUAUCAUGAUGUUGGUUCAUUUUCAGUAUUUUAUAGAAAUGUAUAUUAUCACAAAAUUGUAUAUUUAAGUUCAGAAACUAACACUCCACAGUUACUGAAAGCAAUUAGUUAGACAACUGAUAGGAUGGAGACCCAUCCACUUCUAUGCGCUUUAAUUCUAAAAAAUGUGCAUUGAUUGAAGAAAAAUGGACAUAUUUUAUUGUUGCCUAUUGAGAUGAUAUCAACUUAGUUGCGUGCUGAUCAGUUGCUGGAUGAAUUAAAGCUCUCAUAGCUCCAUAAAUCAGUAUAUCAUCAUCAGUUGCAUCUAAUGCUAAAACUGAAGCACAUAAUGCUGUAAAAAUAAAAGCUUUAACCUCAGGAGCAUCAGAAGAAGAGUUUAAACAUUAACUGAAGAGAUAUUUUUUGCUUUUUGGGGAUCAAAAUGGCGGACGAGAAGCUCGAGAGGCACGUUCUUUGUAUAAAAAGUUAAUUACAUAAAUAACAAUUUGAACUUUUAA